AUGGACGGUUUCAAAGCCAGUUGGGUCACCUGUCCUAUUGAGCUCGGCAUUUCAUUUCUCUCCCUGGCCCGAGCAGGGGUCUGCUGCUGGGAUGUAGUCCCAAGCCCAACAUACUCUCCUAGACAGCAAGGCUGGAAAAGACCUAAAGACCCCAAAACAGUUGCCUUGACAGGGAAGCUCUUUUCUUUGGAUUCCCAGCGUGAGCGGGAUGCUGGGACGUGCAGUCCCAAACCCAAACAGAGUCCUUCCUUCCUUUCUGGGAUAUCCAGUUAGUUGGAUGAUGGGAAGUGCAGUCCGAAACACAGAGGUCUGCCCUUAUUGAGACAGGUCCUUUCUGGGAUUCCCAGUUAGCUGGAUGAUGGGAAGUGUAAUUCAAAACACAGAGGUCUGCCCUUAUUGAGAUAGAUCCUUCUUGGCAUUCCCAGUUAACUGGAUGAUGGGAAGUGCAGUCUGCAACACAGAGGUCUGCCCUUAUUGAGAUAGAUCCUUCUUGGCAUUCCCAGUUAGCUGGAUGAUGGGAAGUGUAAUUCAAAACACAGAGGUCUGCCCUUAUUGAGAUAGGUCCUUCCUGACAUUUCCAGUUAGCUGGAUGAUGGGAAGUGCAGUCCAAAAUGCAUUCAUUGGGAUAGGUCCUUUCUGGGAUCCCCCGAGUUAACCGGAUGAUAGGAUGAAUUCUUCAAAACACAAAAGUCUGCCUUGAUUGGGAUAAGUCCUUUCUGGGAUUCCCAGAGUUAGCUGGAUGAUGGGAAGUGCAGUCCAAAACACUAAGAUCUGUCUUCAUUGCGUAAGUCCUUUCUGGGAUUCCCAGAGUUAGCUGCAUGAUGGGAAGUGCAGUCCAAAACACUAAGGUCUGCCUUGAUUGGGAGAAGUCCUUUCUGGGAUCCCAAGAGUUAGCUGGAUGAUGGGAAGUGUAGUCCGAAACAGUAAGUUCUGCCUUUACUGGGAUAGGUCCUCUCUAGAAUCCCUAGAGUUAGCUGGAUGAUGGGAAGUGUAGUCCGAAACACAAAGGUCUGCCUUUAUGGAGAUAGGUCCUUUUUGGGACCCCCAAAGUUAGUUGGAUGAUGGGAAAUGAAGUCCAAAACACAAACGGUUGCCUUGUCCUUGGGCUUCCUUAGCCCAGGAUGCCAAACGUGUCCUCCUGUUGCUGACACUGCAACUCCCAGAAUCCCCGGCCCGAGGUGAGGAAAGCCGACUCGAUAGGGAAAUCCCUUCCUUCGAAUCAGAUG
rnacentral:lncRNA from 1 species